UCAACUCCGGAUGAAGAGGAAACGGAGGUCCUGGACGGGUCCAGCGGUUACGUAGCUGAGAAGUGGUCAAGUCCGAAUUGGAACCCACGUUUGUGCCCCUUCCACUACACCAACUACCUGUCCCAGGACCUUGUACGAGCUGUUGGCAGAUCGCCUCUUGGUGGGUCUUAAUUCGUUCAGUUACGUACUGAGCACCACCCUGUAGCAGCCCUGCCCAGCACUUGGGAAACAACAGAAACAAGAGUCGGUACCUCCUCCGUGGAUCUUACUUUCAGGAAAGCUAAGCAGCAAAUAAACAGAGGGAGACAGAGUUUGUAGAUACUAAGAAGAAAGUGAACAGGAUGCUGAGGUAAGAGGAUAACUGGAUGUGGGGACUUUUCCUAGUUGAUGAUCAGGGAAGGGUUCCUAGGAGGUAACAUUUAAGCUGAGACCCCUGAGAAACGAAAAGGAGCUGACCGUUGGAAAUCUGAGGAGGAGAUUUCUGGGCGGGUGGAACAGCAGGUGCAAAAAAUCUUAAAGUGCAAAUAAGCUGAAUAUGUGCAAGGACCAGCAGAAUGUUCACCGUAGCUGGAGCAGAGCAAGUGGAAGGAGAAAAUGACAAAGAAUGAGGUUGGAGAAGUGGGCAGGGGCUGUAUCAUACACCCUAGGGUCAUGGUAAUGACUUUAGAUUUUAUUCUAUGACUGGAAGGUCUUUAACCAAAGAGUGAUGCGGUCGAAGUUAGUUAUGUUUUGAAAGAUCAUUCUGCUAGAUAGAGAAAUAUGGGCAAGCAAGAGUGGAGACAUGGAGAGCUGUUAAGAGGCUAUUGGCAUAAUCCAGAUGAGAGAUUAUUUUGAUGCUUGAACUCAGGCAGCGGCAGCAAAGAUGGGGUAGACGGAUUUAUGUAUGUUUUGGGAUACAGUUGACAGUAUUUCCUGAAGGAUUCGAUUUGGAAGGUAAGAAUAAGAAAUGAAACAAGAGUAACUUAUCCUGAGUCUGGCUUCAGCAACUGGAAGGAUGAUGGUGCUGGUGAAGGUGGGGAAUCCACAGUCUUUUUCUGUCGUGGAUAAUUUGAGGAUUUUGUGUGAUAUAGCAGAGGAUAACUCAAGUAAUUGGAUAUAUAUUGUGGUGCGGAUGUCGUUGUCCUCUUUGUUGGCCAUACGCCUACAGUGCGUUUCUCAGCCCCCCUUAAGUAGCAACCAGUGCUGUGCUCUCCCCAAUGAAAAGUGAACAGGAGAGAUGUGCACCGUUGUCGGGCUGGGUCCAGAAAAUUUGUCAACAGGUGCUCUUACUUACUCUGCCAGCUAGACGAUGAUGAGAAGGUUCUGGAGAAGGCAAGGCUUCAAGAUGGAAGAUUGCUGAGUAGAGGAGAAUCUCUGCUUCAUUGACUUAUAUAUCCACCCAGGACUGUUAUAUGGGGAAAAAAUAAACCUUUAUUGUUUGGA